AUGGCAACAUCACAUAUGACCACCAUCAUCUUCUCUACUAUCGUCAUCAUGCUUAUUUCCUCUGCCAUCGCUGCUAAGAGCAGUGGUGACAUUGGUGGCAAGCCCAAACCAACCCCCUUUGUUCUUGAAGCGUGCAAGAGUGCCUCGGACAACUCCCGCCGAUACAACUAUGUGUCCCAAGAAUUCUGCAUCUUUACCCUCCAAUCCGACAACCGGAGCGCCGACGCCAAGAACCACCGUGACCUGGCGCUCAUACCCGUCGAUAUCCUCAAGGGCCGUGUCGUCACCGCUGGCGGCAACAUCAAGGAAGUACUGCACAACACCAAGAACAUCACGUCAUCGAUGGCGCGCCAUCUCAGAAUCUGUGAGCUGGGCUACGACGCCACCAGAAGCAUGUUGAACUUAUGCGGCGCCUUCAUGAGGAAUUACCAGGGUGACAACAUGAGCGAAUACAAUGACGGCCCACAUUCUUCCGAGCUGCCUGUUUGUGUGGACCAGGUGAACAAGGUCUCUGACUACUGCGCGUUCGCGCUUUUCGAUAUGCCGGGGGUGGAGGUACUGAUCGAGGAAAACGAUGAACUGCAGAAGCUGAUCGAUCUCAGCAUGGCCUUGCUAUCACCAUACAGAGAUUCAUGA
rnacentral:rRNA from 1 species